rnacentral:rRNA from 1 species
GGGACACGUGGUAUCCUGUCUGAAUAUGGGGGGACCAUCCUCCAAGGCUAAAUACUCCUGACUGACCGAUAGUGAACCAGUACCGUGAGGGAAAGGCGAAAAGAACCCCGGCGAGGGGAGUGAAAAAGAACCUGAAACCGUGUACGUACAAGCAGUGGGAGCACGCUUCGGCGUGUGACUGCGUACCUUUUGUAUAAUGGGUCAGCGACUUAUAUUCUGUAGCAAGGUUAACCGAAUAGGGGAGCCGAAGGGAAACCGAGUCUUAACUGGGCGUUAAGUUGCAGGGUAUAGACCCGAAACCCGGUGAUCUAGCCAUGGGCAGGUUGAAGGUUGGGUAACACUAACUGGAGGACCGAACCGACUAAUGUUGAAAAAUUAGCGGAUGACUUGUGGCUGGGGGUGAAAGGCCAAUCAAACCGGGAGAUAGCUGGUUCUCCCCGAAAGCUAUUUAGGUAGCGCCUCGUGAAUUCAUCUCCGGGGGUAGAGCACUGUUUCGGCAAGGGGGUCAUCCCGACUUACCAACCCGAUGCAAACUGCGAAUACCGGAGAAUGUUAUCACGGGAGACACACGGCGGGUGCUAACGUCCGUCGUGAAGAGGGAAACAACCCAGACCGCCAGCUAAGGUCCCAAAGUCAUGGUUAAGUGGGAAACGAUGUGGGAAGGCCCAGACAGCCAGGAUGUUGGCUUAGAAGCAGCCAUCAUUUAAAGAAAGCGUAAUAGCUCACUGGUCGAGUCGGCCUGCGCGGAAGAUGUAACGGGGCUAAACCAUGCACCGAAGCUGCGGCAGCGACGCUGAUGCGUUGUUGGGUAGGGGAGCGUUCUGUAAGCCUGCGAAGGUGUGCUGUGAGGCAUGCUGGAGGUAUCAGAAGUGCGAAUGCUGACAUAAGUAACGAUAAAGCGGGUGAAAAGCCCGCUCGCCGGAAGACCAAGGGUUCCUGUCCAACGUUAAUCGGGGCAGGGUGAGUCGACCCCUAAGGCGAGGCCGAAAGGCGUAGUCGAUGGGAAACAGGUUAAUAUUCCUGUACUUGGUGUUACUGCGAAGGGGGGACGGAGAAGGCUAUGUUGGCCGGGCGACGGUUGUCCCGGUUUAAGCGUGUAGGCUGGUUUUCCAGGCAAAUCCGGAAAAUCAAGGCUGAGGCGUGAUGACGAGGCACUACGGUGCUGAAGCAACAAAUGCCCUGCUUCCAGGAAAAGCCUCUAAGCAUCAGGUAACAUCAAAUCGUACCCCAAACCGACACAGGUGGUCAGGUAGAGAAUACCAAGGCGCUUGAGAGAACUCGGGUGAAGGAACUAGGCAAAAUGGUGCCGUAACUUCGGGAGAA